rnacentral:rRNA from 1 species
CCUACGGGAGGCAGCAGUGAGGAAUAUUGGUCAAUGGUCGGGAGACUGAACCAGCCAAGCCGCGUGAGGGAGGAAGGUACAGAGUAUCGUAAACCUCUUUUGUCAGGGAACAAAGGCGGGGACGUGUCCCCGGAUGAGUGUACCUGAAGAAAAAGCAUCGGCUAACUCCGUGCCAGCAGCCGCGGUAAUACGGAGGAUGCGAGCGUUAUCCGGAUUUAUUGGGUUAAAGGGGUGCGCAGGCGGUCUGUUAAGUCAGCGGUAAAAGCCCGGGGAUCAACCCCGGCCCGCCGUUGAAACUGGUAGUCUCGAGUUGGAGAGAAGUAUGCGGAAGGCGCGGUGUAGCGGUGAAAUGCAUAGAUAUCGCGCAGAACUCCGAUUGCGAAGGCAGCAUGCCGGCUCCACACUGACGCUGAGGCACGAAAGCGUGGGUAUCGAACAGGAUUAGAUACCCCUGUAGUC